GACGAACGCUGGCGGCGUGCUUAACACAUGCAAGUCGAGCGGUAAGGCCCUUUCGGGGGUACACGAGCGGCGAACGGGUGAGUAACACGUGGGUGACCUGCCCUCAGCUCUGGGAUAAGCCUGGGAAACCGGGUCUAAUACUGGAUAUGACUCCAUGACGCAUGUUGUGGGGUGGAAAGCCUUGUGCGGCUGAGGAUGGGCCCGCGGCCUAUCCAGCUUGUUGGUGGGGUGANGGCCUACCAAGGCGACGACGGGUAGCCGGCCUGAGAGGGCGACCGGCCGACACUGGGACUGAGACACGGCCCAGACUCCUACGGGAGGCAGCAGUGGGGAAUCUUGCGCAAUGGGCGAAAGCCUGACGCAGCGACGCCGCGUGA
rnacentral:rRNA from 1 species